GUUUCUUCACAACAAGAAAAAAUCGAAAAAACAGGGGAAUGAUCUUCGUCUUAUGGAUAUUUUAGUAUCAAUAUGUUUCAUGGCCAACAUCAGAUUUCAUGGUGUUAUGAUCUUCUGAUGUAAUCAUUUCAUGGCCAACACCAGGACUCCCUCCUCACGGUAUUUAUAGCAUAGCAUGUUGAGUGUGAGUGCUCUCUCUUUAUAUUCUUAUUGAUACUUAAUGCAAUUAUGCAACUUGACUUAAAUAUGAGGAAUGCAGUGCAUCAUGAUAUGCGAAUGUGGACCGUUUAUAUGUCAAAUUGCUUUUGAUUUGGUGGCCCCAAUCCCACCAGCGCAGUCAUUCUUUUUUCUAUGCUUCAAAUAGAUUUGGCUCAUUAUUCUCUUUCCAGAUAUGUACAUUUCAUUUGAUAAUUGCUUCUUUUAAUCUUCCUCUCUCCUUUUGCUAUAAAAGGUUUGCUUACAUGAAUUUCAUGUGUUAAUUAUAUUAUCCUAGCUAGAAUAUAAGGCAGGGUCUGAUAGAAAAGAAUGUUAGUGUGAGACAGGAUCACAGACAACUUCACUAGAUUAUAAAAACCAACAGAGACUCCUCACUGUCACAGAGUCACACUCACAUGGAGGCUUACCAAUAAUCUGACAUUUUUUUUAAACUAAAAUAAGCUAAUAAAAUAAAAGCUUUAAUUAGUCAUUUAGCAUUUAAAAUUGCAAAUAAUGUUAAUUUUGUUAUUAUAUUUAAAAAAUAUGCAUUUUUAUUCUUUGCAAAUGUACUCUAAUCGCUCUUAGUCCUCG
rnacentral:lncRNA from 1 species